UCAGGCAUUGCCUCAGUAACGGCGAGUGAAGCGGCAACAGCUCAAAUUUGAAAUCUGGCCCCAGGCCCGAGUUGUAAUUUGCAGAGGAUGCUUUUGGUGCGGUGCCUUCCAAGUUCCCUAGAACGGGACGCCAGAGAGGGUGAGAGCCCCGUACAGUUGGACACCAAGCCUUUGUAAAGCUCCUUCGACGAGUCGAGUAGUUUGGGAAUGCUGCUCAAAAUGGGAGGUAUAUUUCUUCUAAAGCUAAAUACCGGCCAGAGACCGAUAGCGCACAAGUAGAGUGAUCGAAAGAUGAAAAGCACUUUGAAAAGAGGGUUAAACAGCACGUGAAAUUGUUAAAAGGGAAGCGCUUGUGACCAGACUUGCGUCCGGUGAAUCACCCAGCUCUCGCGGCUGGGGCACUUCGCCGGCUCAGGCCAGCAUCAGCUCGCUGUCGGGGACAAAAGCUUCAGGAACGUAGCUCUCUUCGGGGAGUGUUAUAGCCUGUUGCACAAUACCCUUCGGCGGGCUGAGGUACGCGCUCCGCAAGGAUGCUGGCAUAAUGGUCAUCAGCGACCCGUCUUGA
rnacentral:rRNA from 1 species